UGGGGAAUCUUGCACAAUGGGCGAAAGCCUGAUGCAGCAACGCCGCGUGGGGGAUGAAGCUUCUCGGAGUGUAAACCCCUUUCGACCCGGAAGAAAGCCCGCAAGGGUUUGACGGUACGGGUAUAAGAAGCCCCGGCUAACUACGUGCCAGCAGCCGCGGUAAAACGUAGGGGGCCAGCGUUGCUCGGAAUUACUGGGCGUAAAGGGUUCGUAGGUGGUGCGGCAAGUUGGGAGUGAAAUCUCUGGGCUUAACCCAGAGGCUGCUUUCAAAACUGCCGUGCUCGAGUGCGAGAGAGGUCAGUGGAAUUGCAGGUGUAGCGGUGAAAUGCGUAGAUAUCUGCAGGAACACCCGUGGCGAAGGCGGCUGACUGGAUCGCAACUGACACUGAGGAACGAAAGCUAGGGGAGCAAACAGGAUUAGAUACCCUGGUAGUCCUAGCCCUAAACCAUCAGAACUUGGGGUGGCCCGCGUAGGCGGGUCGUCCCGUAGCUAACGCGUUAAGUUCUGCGCCUGGGGAGUACGGUCGCAAGAC
rnacentral:rRNA from 1 species